AGUUGGAACCUGAACAAGGACUUCUGGGAAAUGCUCCUGAGAAGGGGGUCUUGAGUGCUAAGAUACAGAAGGGAGUAGAAGGAAGACCUGUUUCUCUGGGCCAUUUCAAGACACCCCUGGAGAUUUCUGUCACUGACAAAAAUCCCAACAUCAAGGAUUCCUGUUAAAACAUCACAGAUUCCUGUCAACAAACCUAAUUUCUCUGAAGACUUUCAUUCCAUGAACUAUUGAGAUACUGGACUCAAAUUUGGAAAGAAAAAAAGGGAGAAAAGAAGGGGAAAACAAAAGGACGACAUUGCCAGCAGUUGCUGUUGCUCCUCACUCAGCUCUGGGGAGAGGCAGAAGGGGCCAAAGAAAAGAGAAGAGGAUCAGAGAAGGAAAUGGAGGGCAGAGCCUGAGAGAAGCAGGAAGUCUGUUCUA